AAAGAGAGUGACAGUCUUGUAGGGGAAGGCAAAGAUAGGGAGCAAGUACCAGAGUACCGCGGGACACGAGAAAUCCGGUGGGAAGCAGGGGGGACCACCCCCCAAGCCUAAAUACGAUCAGUGACCGAUAGCGCAUAGUACCGUGAGGGAAAGGUGAAAAGAACCCCGGGAGGGGAGUGAAAGAGAACCUGAAACCCUGUGUUUACAAGCAGAGAAAGUACACGCGAUGUACGAUCUCGUACUUUUUGUAGAACGGACCGGCGAGUUACGUUAUGCAGCGAGGUUAAGAACUGAAGGUUCGGAGCCGAAGCGAAAGCGAGUCUGAAGAGGGCGAUAGUUGCAUGACGUAGACCCGAAACCGGGUGACCUAUCCAUGGCCAGGUUGAAGUGGGAGUAAAAUCCCAUGGAGGACCGAACCAGACGUCUGUUGAAAAAGGCGGGGAUGAGCUGUGGAUAGGGGAGAAAUUCCAAUCGAACCCGGAGAUAGCUGGUUCUCCUCGAAAUAGCUUUAGGGCUAGCCUCAUGGAGUAAUUGAUGGGGGUAGAGCACUGAAUGGGCGCGGGGGACUCAAAUCCUACCAAACUCUAUCAAACUGCGAAUACCAUACAAUGCAGACCAUGGGAGUCAGUCCGCGAGAGAUAAGUUCCGCGGGCAAAAGGGGAACACCCCAGAUCAACCGCUAAGGUCCCAAAGUGCACGUUAAGUGGAGAAGGAUGUGGAAUUGCACAGACAACCAGGAUGUUGGCUCAGAAGCAGCCACACAUUUAAAGAGUGCGUAAUAGCUCACUGGUCGAGUGGUUGUGCGCCGAAAAUGUCCGGGGCUAAAACGUGACACCGAAGCGAUGGAUGCGCGCAAGCGCGUGGUAGAGGAGCGUUGUAUACGGGCUGAAGCCGUAUCGAGAGGCACGGUGGACUGUAUACAAGAGAGAAUGCCGGUAUGAGUAGCGAGAGCGAAGCGAGAAACUUCGCCGUCGAAAGCCCAAGGUUUCCUGGGGAAGGUUCAUCCACCCAGGGUAAGUCGGGACCUAAGCCGAGGACGGAAGUCGUAGGCGAUGGACAGCAGGUGUAUAUUCCUGCACUACCGAAGAA
rnacentral:ncRNA from 1 species